CGCUGGCGGCGUGCUUAAUACAUGCAAGUCAACUUGACCUUAGAUAGCAAUAUCGAAAGUAGGGUGGCGCACGGGUGCGUAACGCGUAGGUAAUCCUGCCCUGAGGUCUGACAUAACCCGUCGAAAGGCGGGCUAACAUCAGAUGAUAUAUAAUCACGACAUCGUGGAAAUAUCAAAUCUUCGGAGCCUUGGGAUGAGCCUGCGUCUGAUUAGGUAGUUGGCGGAGUAAUAGCCCACCAAGCCUACGAUCAGUAGCUGGUCUGAGAGGAUGAUCAGCCACACUGGAACUGAGACACGGUCCAGACUCCUACGGGAGGCAGCAGUAAGGAAUAUUGCUCAAUGGGGGAAACCCUGAAGCAGCAACGCCGCGUGAAGGAUGAAAUACUUCUGUAUGUAAACUUCUGUAAGAUGGGAAAAAUAUUCUCCUCGGGAGAAUUGAUUGUACCAUCAGAGUAAGCCCCGGCUAACUACGUG
rnacentral:rRNA from 1 species